AACGAACGCUGGCGGCAGGCCUAACACAUGCAAGUCGAGCGCCCGCAAGGGAGCGGCGGACGGGUGAGUAACGCGUGGGAACGUGCCCUUUGCUACGGAAUAGCCUCGGGAAACUGAGAGUAAUACCGUAUGUGCCCUUCGGGGGAAAGAUUUAUCGGCAAAGGAUCGGCCCGCGUUGGAUUAGGUAGUUGGUGGGGUAAUGGCCUACCAAGCCGACGAUCCAUAGCUGGUUUGAGAGGAUGAUCAGCCACACUGGGACUGAGACACGGCCCAGACUCCUACGGGAGGCAGCAGUGGGGAAUCUUAGACAAUGGGCGAAAGCCUGAAGCAGCAACGCCGCGUGCGCGAUGAAGGCCUUCGGGUCGUAAAGCGCUUUUAAGAGGGACGAGAUAGGACGGUACCUUUCGAAUAAGUCACGGCUAACUACGUGCCAGCAGCCGCGGUAAUAC
rnacentral:rRNA from 1 species